rnacentral:lncRNA from 1 species
UAUUAUAUAUAAUAAUAAGUGUUAUAUCUCAUAGGUCAUUUUAGGGAGAAUGUGACUUACACCGUUUCACUUCUGAGACAUCCAUAUCUUUUUUCGAUAUAUUCUAAACUUAAAUGGAAAUUUGUAGGUCACGUUAUUAAGCAGAUCAAAGAUGGUCUACUGUUUUUAAUUAUGUGAGGAAAAACUCAUAUGAUAGAUGGUCUUAACAGCAUGUUGAAUCCAGAUGGAUAAUUGCAGCAUUAGAUAGAAACCAACCUUGGACAAUGGAGCAGUGUGAUGGAUAUUUGGGUCAUCCUUUGAGAACAAAUUCAAUAUAAAUUAUGUGGGUCAAUUCGAAAAGUGUUUUUGUGGUUCAAAAUAAAACUACCAAGAUAUUUUGUAUUAUUUAUUUAUUAAAAAAUUAAAACGGCUCUAAUAAUUUUUAA